rnacentral:rRNA from 1 species
UACGUAGGGGGCAAGCGUUGUCCGGAAUCAUUGGGCGUAAAGCGCGUGUAGGCGGCUCGGUAAGUCUGCUCUGAAAGUCCAAGGCUCAACCUUGGGAUGCGGGUGGAUACUGCCGGGCUCGAGUCCGGAAGAGGCGAGUGGAAUUCCUGGUGUAGCGGUGAAAUGCGCAGAUAUCAGGAGGAACACCGGUGGCGAAGGCGGGACUCUGGGCCGAUACUGACGCUGAGGAGCGAAAGCGUGGGGAGCAAACAGG